UGGUUCUGGCAUCGAUGAAGAACGCAGCGAAAUGCGAUAAGUAAUGUGAAUUGCAGAAUCCAGUGAAUCAUCGAAUCUUUGAACGCACAUUGCGCCCUCUGGCAUUCCGGAGGGCAUACCUGUUCGAGCGUCAUUACAACCCUCAAAGAUGAGUCUUUGGCGUUGGGCAAUGCCUGGAGGGCAUGCCUCAAAAUCAGCGAUGGCGGCCUUCGGCCACGGGCGCACAAACGUGCCUGGCAAGCCGGACGUCGUCGUCGGACUGACGAAUUUCCAAUGUUGACCUCGGAUCAGGUAGGGAUACCCGCUGA
rnacentral:misc_RNA from 1 species